rnacentral:rRNA from 1 species
AGUGAACGCUGGCGGUAGGCCUAACACAUGCAAGUCGAACGGCAGCACAGUAAGAGCUUGCUCUUACGGGUGGCGAGUGGCGGACGGGUGAGGAAUACUUCGGAAUCUACUUUUUCGUGGGGGAUAACGUAGGGAAACUUACGCUAAUACCGCAUACGACCUACGGGUGAAAGCAGGGGAUCUUCGGACCUUGCGCGAUUGAAUGAGCCGAUGUCGGAUUAGCUAGUUGGCGGGGUAAAGGCCCACCAAGGCGACGAUCCGUAGCUGGUCUGAGAGGAUGAUCAGCCACACUGGAACUGAGACACGGUCCAGACUCCUACGGGAGGCAGCAGUGGGGAAUAUUGGACAAUGGGCGCAAGCCUGAUCCAGCCAUACCGCGUGGGUGAAGAAGGCCUUCGGGAUGUAAAGCCCUUUUGUUGGGAAAGAAAAGCAGCAGGUUAAUACCCCGCUGUUCUGACGGUACCCAAAGAAUAAGCACCGGCUAACUUCGUG